UUUGUAUUAUUAGUGUUUUUAUCGGAUAUGAGUCGGUCUCCUUCCUUUAAAGUUAAAGAAGAACUUAGUCCCAGUCUUGAUCCAGAGUCUUUACAGAGAUGGAUCGUUGCCUUAUGUGCUAUAAGGUUUGAUCUUGAACUAGGCCAACUCAUAGAAGAAUGUUAUCCACCUGGCUGUCUUACACAUGAUGAGGAACUGGAGAUUGCUUAUAUUUCGUUUCCGGAUUCUAUUUCCCAGCAACAAAACCCCUCAACCAUUCAUGAUUGAAUCUUCUUUUUCCGAUUCUGUAGUAAAAGAUUAUCCAGUACAAAUAGUGAUAAUGUUUCUAAAUAACUGUAUGGCUUUGUCUUUAAUAGACAGAGACACGAUGAGAGGCUAAAGUGAUGAGGGGAGCAGUAGUCUGUGGUUAUUUUGUCCCACAGUCCUUAUUCUAGUGUGUUCAAACCUUUAUUACAAUUUGUAGGUCCCUUAUAUUUUGACAUCGGUAAGAUAGCACUGGAGCUUAUUGCUGCUUAUGUUUCAACAUGGCCUGCUCCUGUUCUUGGUAAGCUAAUGGAUCUUCCUAUUGGGAAUGCAUUGCUUAAAGAGAACCUGCCACCUGCACACAGCUUACCCAAGGAAAAUGGAGUAUCUCUUGAUGAAUCUGCUGCUCCUGUGGCUCCUUUUCUUCCUAAUAAUCAGUAUAUCCCACAGGGCCUUUUUCACGAUUCAGAUCUCUAUGGAGCUUUCCAUGGCCUUCUAUUGCAGCUUUGGUUGUUUUGGGAAUUGUUACUCGGUGAACCCAUUCUUAUCAUUGCACCAACCCCUCCCCAGUGUUCUGAGGUCGUUGCUAGUCUUGUCCAUUACUUUGCAGUGUUGACUUCCAUCCUUAUUUUACUAUUCACGAUCCUCAGUUUGCACACUUAAACUCAAUUCGAGAAGGGGAAACCUUCCCCCCAAUGGUUUUAGGGGUGACAAUUCUUUUCUUCCUUAAGGCUCUCCAUAAAAUCCCCUACAUUGUCUCAGUUGGAAGUCCACCUCCUAGUUCAAACAGGGUUUCCCUUUCGACUAGGUCUUCUACAGGAAAGGUUUCUAGUAGACCUGAAGGUCUUGGGCUUCAACAACUUUCUCUGCAGAAGUUUUCUCCUUCAAGUUUAUUGAAUGCAAUUAAGCUAUGGAGAGACGGUCCUCUUUGUCUCAUGACAGAACAUAAGGAAGCCAUUUGGACUACAUAUUCUGCCACAACUAAGCCAGACACCUCUAUUUUAAAUAGGCUUAUAGAUGCUGGCAUGUCACCAAGAGUUGAGGAGUCAAUGUCAGUUGUUAACAAUGAGAUCUUAUAGCGGCAUUUCUUGGAGCUUACGAUUAAUUUUUUGGCCCCUUUUGGUCCAUAUUUUAGGAUUACAGCGCCAUUGGAAGGAUCUUCUCCGUAUGUAGAUCCUCCUUCUUUGCCUCCAUUUAAUGCUGAUGAAUUUCUUGCAAUUUUAUCAGCCAGAGGUCCAAGGAAGUUCAUUUUGAAGCAAAUGAAAUCUAACUGGCUCGACUUCUACAGGCGGUUCCUGAAUGGACCCAACUUCAUGCCUUGGUUUCAGAGGAGGCGUGCUGUAGCUGAACAGAAACAAGAUAGAUUGUGGAGGCACGCAAGAAUGAAAACUGAUAUACAGAAACUUAUAUCUAAAAUGGCCGAGUUGGAAGUUGUGGAUUCUUUUAGUGUUAUAGAGAGACUUCUACUUGGGGAGUUACUGCUGCAGCAACCUGGAAAUGGAGGUAUUGAUUCCACGGUAACUUGUCAGAAACUAAUGGGAGAUCUUCAGGCAGUCUUCAGCGCACUUACAAAAGAUAUGCAGCAACUCAUGCUUUCAAAUCCACAAAGAGCAUCCCUUCUGCGAGGUAGCCCAGAAUUGACAAAACUUCCAGCACUCGCACUUGUUCAAGCCGGGGGUGCAUCUUCUACAUCACUCACUUGAAUGGUAAAAGCAUGAAACAGGUGGUCUUCUUAUGGUUCCAAAAGGCACUCUUCCUUAAGUCACCACAUCUGUCUGAUUGAGAGAAUUUCUGCGACUUUUGACAAGUUAUGGGGUAAGACUUAUUUUUGCAGACAUUCUAUUUUCCUUUGGAUGUCAUGCAAUUCAUUUCAAUAGAAUGUGUUUGCUGUUUUUUUUUGUAUUUUUCUUCGAAUAAACAGCUGUGUUAGCUGCAAUUUGAUUUAUCAAUACACUUUGAGAAGCAGACAUGAGAGAACUUGCCUCUUGACAAACAUAUAUGGAAAAUUGAUUUAUUUGAAACUAGCCAGGUUGUAAGUUUGCCUUUGUCGGUUAUAAUUGUGGCUUGAUAUUGUUUCUAUUAUUAAGGACCAAGCUGUAAUUUAUUCA